rnacentral:lncRNA from 1 species
GGCCUGUUUCAUGGAUAGGGUCCCCUUGCCCGCGUGAAAGUCUCAUUCCUCCUCAGCUCAGAAACACUCCAAGGUCUCGGCGCCCUAUACUGGCCUUCCCUCAUCCGAAUACCCCUCGUGCUCCUGAUGUACUUUUCCAUUCCCACUCCCUACUCUGGCAGUCUAGCUUCUAAGCUGAGGAGUUUGGCCUUCGCUCCAGGUGCGGGGACUCGUGGAAGGAUUUGAUUCGCGCUUGAGAAAGAUCGCUCCGCUCCUGUAAGGAAGAGAGCGUGUAGGGGCUGCAACCAGAGACACAGUCAGAAGCUCCGAGGCUACCGCGAUGGUCCAGGUGCCACAGGACACAGCCUAACAGAGGCCCAGGUUGGAGCCAUGGACCAUGGAGUCAUGAGAAUGGAAGGGAAGCUGACGCCAUGUGGGAUGGGGUAGAACUGUCCGCAAAUUCGUCCCGCCUCUGGAGUCUUCAGACCAGUCAAGGCCGAAAUUCAACCAAGCCUCUCCUCUCUCUAGCUGUUAUUUGUUUGCAGCACGCGGUCUGGUGGCACCCUGCAGGAUUUACCAGCUUUUUGCCAACAUUCUGGCCUAUGCAAUCAAUACGUCCCUUCAGCGUUGCACUUGGAUGGAUUGGACCUAUAGUUGUUAUAUAUGGAUAUUGUCUAAUUUAUUUAUUACAGUAUUAACUGACUCCUAUGUUCUGGCCUUCAGAAUUUCUCCUUUGGAUCAAUUACUAGCCUGUCUUACAUUUUCUGCUUCAUUCUUUUAAAAUGUUUAGAGAUGAUUUGCUAAGUUUUCUUCAUUGCUGUCAAUGAUGCAAUUUAAACUGUCAAAAAAAUUUUUUCUCAAGCAGGGUAGUAAUGGUGAACCAUUCCCUUGCUAUUCAGACAGCAUGGUUUAGAUGAGGCGCACCUAUCCCCAGCUUUAGGAAUGGAAACAGGACCCAAGUCUGGCUAAUCAGAGACUGGUUUAGGGUCGGCCCCAUGGUCUGAGCCAGACCAAUGAGAAUUGGUAGAGGGACUUCCUUUUGCAACUUCUAUUUUAGAAUCGGGGGUAUAUAUGCAGGCUUGUUACAGAGGUAUAUUGCAUGGUGCUGAGGUUUGGAGUAUGAACGAAUCCGUCCUUCAGGUAAUGAGCAUAGUACCCAAUAGGUAGUUUCAACCCUUGCCCCCUUCCUCCUUCCCCAGUCUUGUAUUCCCCAGUGUCUGUUGUUCCCAGACAUUGAUCUUUUUCCUCUAUGUUGCUAAGCUGGUAGAAAGGCUGGAGUUGCUGGCAACCAUCUUUGCAACCAUGCAGGGAGAACUACUUUGGAAAUGAAGCAAGAUAAAGAAGAAAACAGAUAAAAGGAGACAAAUGUUUGACUUUGUACAGCUGGAAACCAGCAAUGCUGGAAAUGAGCACUGAAGGCAGUUUAAUGGGUUUGUCACUUGUAACCAAGUGACCCAUGGCAAGCUCACAGAUUUGUAUUGGCAGAAUUCCUCCUUUUCUUUAUUUAAAAUGGUACUUUUGGCCAGGCAAGGUGGUUCACACCUGUAAUCCAAAGACUUUGGGAGGCCGAGGCGCACUGAUCACCCAAGGUCAGAAGUUCGAGAACAGCCUGGCCAACAUUGGCGAAACCCCAUCUCUACUAAAAAUACAAACCAUUAGCUGGCUGCGGUGGCCUUUCUACCAGCUUUUUGUCUC